GAUAAAAUGCCUUCCUGAAAUGAUAUCUCUUCAUCUAGUGAAUCCCAUGACUUUCCAUUUAGCUGCAAGCUCUUGAAGUCAUAUGAUGUAGAAAACAAGGUUUGUAACCAUGGGACAGUGUAGCCAAGUGGAAAGACACUCUAUGACACAGUUUACCGUUCUAGACCUGACCUCAGCAGCCCUCUGGGAUAACUUCUAUCACGUACGUUUUGGAUUCGGUGGAAGCCUGAAAGCAGGAAUUUGGCUGUUUAUCCGGGACAAGUUCCCCUUGUUCCAAAAGCACGUGAACUGUCAUAUACAGCGGCGUCUACAGCUGUGAGACACGAGCCGGAUGACGCACCUGCACCUGGAGUCUCAUAUAGUGUAUAGAACUGCACAAACGAUAAAACUGGGGGAGGCAACAUAUACUAUGCUAAUAAUAACCAGAAAGGACGAGAGAAUAUCACAACAGGGAUUUGAGUCUAUUUCAUAAAUUACAUACAUGGAUAAGCAAUAAUAAUAAGAUUAAAUAAAUCAUAGAAGCAGUGACUAGUCAUUUCCUGUGGGGAAGUGAGAGGAAAUGGCACUAUAUUGGUGUUUGACUCUGAUAUGAGCUCAUAUCAAAAGGUUAGUGACAAGUACAUGAGAUUUAUUGAUGGUUAUGUCAAAUUUUCACUGAAAGAUAUCUACAUUUUAACGAGCUGUGAUUCUUUCUGAUGCUUUACUGAUUUUGAAGAGAUUCCUGUUGCAUGUCUGCUCUAGAUACAUAUUAAGAAGAUAUAAAGAUUAGUCCUUAGAUGCAGUUGGUCAAUAAAACUACAGGCAAUGGCUUGCAUGUGAGAUACCAAAUGUUAUUGCUAGUUCUUCUGCAUUGGGGUGGUUUUGGACUGGCUGUGCAACUGAGAAAAUAAGCUAUUGUUUUUAACAAAAAAUUAACGCAGACUUCAAAUGGAACUCGUGUGUUUGUGCUUACAACAUGGGUUGUGUAUAAAAACUGGUUGGCAGGCGGGUUACAUCAGCUGUAAAUCGUGAACACUGUUGCUAGCCAACCAUUGUUGUCUAGAAGAAGAUCGAGGCUAACAGAUUAGCGAGCCUAACAUCCAGGUAACGUAACGCAGGAAAUACAAAAACAUGAGAAAAAGAUGAGGGCAUUGGAUGUAUCGAAAGGUGUCACUGCUGAAGUCUGAAAUUUGUCAGCCCUUAGGCUUUUGUCCUGGGCCCCAGUCCGUUGCCUGGCUCACCUGGUGACAAGCUCGAGCAUAUCCGACUGUGUAUGGGAAAAGUCCACGAGAACAAUCCCCUGUUGUGCUUUUCACAGCCUCAAAAGUGGAAAAUGUGCCAAGGUCCGAGUUCACGAGUUGGGAAGUGUUCGUGUGGAGGUGGAUGAUAAGUGAUAUGUUGUAAUUUAAUCAUGUAGUCAAGUUUUCUCUGACAUUUCAUAACAUCAUAACAUGUAAACAUCAAAAAUAAAAAGAGAAAUGUGUUUUUGUUUUUUGUUUUUUCAAGGUCAAGGUUUCUUGCAUCAAAUAGUGAACAAUUGCUAAACAAGCUAGCUAGCCAGCUUGCUGGUACCUUGAACGGCUUUCAGACGAAAUAAUGAAGUAAUAAUUGGCGUUGUUCUCCUCAUGGCCUCUCGGUUUGGGCAAUGCUGUACCUACAGGCUGCUCCAUCAGAACUUUCCCCACAUCUUUACCACCUUAAUAGAGCUCAGCUCCUGCUCAGAGGCAACAGGUGGGAAGUGUCAGGAGGAGUCAUUACUAAAGGGAAGCGCUCGGACCUGAGAUAGAAACUGCAGGAAAGAUAGUAGGUGGUAUUCCCACUUCCGAACAGAUGCACAUGUCAAGGGUGCGGAGACAUGCGUCACACGGGGCCCUCGCUGCACCGUGCAGCAACCACACUCUGAAGUGGAACGGGAUGGGAGGGAAGAGCGAGGCUGGCAUCUCAUGGUAUUCAUCUGAUAUACGGACUACUUAAGGCUGUCGAUUUGCAUUGUCGUUUCAGAGGGAUGGUGACGUCGCAACGGCGAAGUAUCGAAAUGUUCUUGACGCAUUGUUUCUUGAUUCAAAUCUGCUCUUUCACUUGGAGUCUGAAUAAGAAACGACUGUAAGCCUUAACAGUCUGUAAUUUGACCAAGGCUUUGUUAUUGAGAGCAGCACCCAGUGACAUCUGCAACCGCCAGAUCUCCAGAUAAAUUGAUCUCAUAGCAACCACAUUUCCAUGGCAACCAGGAUACAGAUGCCAUGCUGAGGUGAUAUGCAGAGUGACUGGCUGCCAGACUGACAUUUUUUUCCAUAAUAAAAAAAAGAAAAAAAAAGAAAAGAAAAGAAACUUAAGUGAAUAAUUCAUGUAGUUUCCAUUCCUAAAUUAUUGUCUGCAUCAUCGGCCUCCUAUGUUUUCCUGUCUGU